UCACUAGUGAUUAGAGUUUGAUCCUGGCUCAGAUUGAACGCUGGCGGCAUGCCUUACACAUGCAAGUCGAACGGCAGCAUGAUCUAGCUUGCUAGAUUGAUGGCGAGUGGCGAACGGGUGAGUAAUACAUCGGAACGUGCCCUGUAGUGGGGGAUAACUAGUCGAAAGAUUAGCUAAUACCGCAUACGACCUGAGGGUGAAAGUGGGGGACCGCAAGGCCUCAUGCUAUAGGAGCGGCCGAUGUCUGAUUAGCUAGUUGGUGGGGUAAAGGCCCACCAAGGCGACGAUCAGUAGCUGGUCUGAGAGGACGAUCAGCCACACUGGGACUUAGACACGGCCCAGACUCCUACGGGAGGCAGCAGUGGGGAAUUUUGGACAAUGGGGGCAACCUUGUCCAGCAAUGCCGCGUGUGGAAGAAGGCCUUCGGGUUGUAAAGCACUUUUGUCCGGAAAGAAAUCGCACUUACUAAUAUUAGGUGUGGAUGACGGUACCGGAAGAAUAAGGACCGGCUAACUACGUGCCAGCAGCCGCGGUAAUACGUAGGGUCCAAGCGUUAAUCGGAAUUACUGGGCGUAAAGCGUGCGCAGGCGGUUGUGCAAGACCGAUGUGAAAUCCCCGGGCUUAACCUGGGAAUUGCAUUGGUGACUGCACGGCUAGAGGUGGUGUCAGAGGGGGGGUAGGAAUUCCACGUGUAGCAGUGAAAUGCGUAGAGAUGUGGAGGAAUACCGAUGGCGAAGGCAGCCCCCUGGGAUAACACUGACGCUCAUGCACGAAAGCGUGGGGAGCAAACAGGAUUAGAUACCCUGGUAGUCCACGCCCUAAACGAUGUCAACUAGUUGUUGGGGAUUCAUUUCCUUAGUAACGUAGCUAACGCGUGAAGUUGACCGCCUGGGGAGUACGGUCGCAAGAUUAAAACUCAAAGGAAUUGACGGGGACCCGCACAAGCGGUGGAUGAUGUGGAUUAUUUCGAUGCACCGCGAAAAACCUUACCUACCCCUUGACAUGCCACUAACGAAGCAGAGAUGCAUUAGGUGCUCGAAAGAGAAAGUGGACACAGGUGCUGCAUGCCUGUCGUCAGCUCGUUUCGUUAAAUGUUGGGUUAAGUCCCGCAACGAGCGCAACCCUUGUCUCUAGUUGCUACGAAAGGGCACUCUAGAGAGACUGCCGGUGACAAACCGGAGGAAGGUGGGGAUGACGUCAAGUCCUCAUGGCCCUUAUGGGUAGGGCUUCACACGUCAUACAAUGGUGCAUACAGAGGGUUGCCA
rnacentral:rRNA from 1 species